rnacentral:ncRNA from 1 species
ACACCGCCUCCGAGCGGUGUUCGUGGCCUCGAACGGGCCCAUGAGGCGGGGGUGGUGCCGUGUCGGCGCAGCACCACCCCUUCCGG